AGGUGAGGUGGGAGGUGGUGUGGGAACAGUGAGUGAGCUUUUACCUGCAGCCUUUCCGUGCUUCCU
rnacentral:miRNA from 1 species